GCUAGCGGCAGGCUUAACACAUGCAAGUCGAGGGGCAGCAUAAUGGAUAGCAAUAUCUAUGGUGGCGACCGGCGCACGGGUGCGUAACGCGUAUGCAACCUACCUUUAACAGGGGGAUAACACUGAGAAAUUGGUACUAAUACCCCAUAAUAUCAUAGAAGGCAUCUUUUAUGGUUGAAAAUUCCGAUGGUUAGAGAUGGGCAUGCGUUGUAUUAGCUAGUUGGUGGGGUAACGGCUCACCAAGGCGACGAUACAUAGGGGGACUGAGAGGUUAACCCCCCACACUGGUACUGAGACACGGACCAGACUCCUACGGGAGGCAGCAGUGAGGAAUAUUGGUCAAUGGACGCAAGUCUGAACCAGCCAUGCCGCGUGCAGGAUGACGGCUCUAUGAGUUGUAAACUGCUUUUGUACGAGGGUAAACGCAGAUACGUGUAUCUGUCUGAAAGUAUCGUACGAAUAAGGAUCGGCUAACUCCGUGCCAGCAGCCGCGGUAAUACGGAGGAUUCAAGCGUUAUCCGGAUUUAUUGGGUUUAAAGGGUGCGUAGGCGGUUUGAUAAGUUAGAGGUGAAAUUUCGGGGCUCAACCCUGAACGUGCCUCUAAUACUGUUGAGCAAGAGAGUAGUUGCGGUAGGCGGAAUGUAUGGUGUAGCGGUGAAAUGCUUAGAGAUCAUACAGAACACCGAUUGCGAAGGCAGCUUACCAAACUAUAUCUGACGUUGAGGCACGAAAGCGUGGGGAGCAAACAGGAUUAGAUACCCUGGUAGUCCACGCAGUAAACGAUGAUAACUCGUUGUCGGCGAUACACAGUCGGUGACUAAGCGAAAGCGAUAAGUUAUCCACCUGGGGAGUACGUUCGCAAGAAUGCAACUCAAAGGAAUUGACGG
rnacentral:rRNA from 1 species